rnacentral:lncRNA from 1 species
UACAAUAAUCAUAUGAAUUCGAAAAAAUUUUCACUCUAUUAUCUAUACUACAUAUAAAAGAGUUAGUUUUUACAGUUUUUUGCCAAAAAUGUCAUUCACAAUUUCACUCAAUUUCAAUUAAUCUAAUCCAACUUUUUUAAAAUAAGUUACUUACAACCGUAGAAUUUUAAAUUUUUUCUAUAAAAUUAUAAAAUUACAGUUAAUCGACACCAUCAAAUUUAAUCCAA